rnacentral:misc_RNA from 1 species
GGCCACCCCAAUCUUAAUUUCUUAUGGAGUGGGAAUGAGGAGUGCAAUUCCAUCCUAACCUGCCCAUUGGCAUUCCUGAUGUAGGUUAAUCACACCAGAUUAUACCAGCUUCAAAUUUUCUCGCUGUUGUUUGAUGAUAGGUGCAAAUAAACAACGUCAAGCCAGAGGCAGUCACGAAGCACUUGCCAAGCAAGGUAAUGAUUUAGCUUAGUAAAAGUUAAAAGAGUCGUAGGUAACUAUCACACAUUCCCAACCAGCAACGGACCUCUGAAAAAUGGUGAUCAAUGUCUAUGUUAACGUUCUUGAGGGGCACUUGUUCUUGAUUCUUACGGCUGCUCUAGACGAUACACUCCCUAUCACAUGUUAGUACUGAAUGAACAGAAGUAGUUAACCCUAAAGACUACACAGGCGAACGAAGCAACACCUCCUUCAUGGCAAAGAAAUGUAUCGUCCUAGCCAUGUAAAGCAUGAAACAAUGAUAGCUAUUCUGAAUAUUGAAGUCUUAAGUUAAAGAUAACGAACAGUCUUAUUUUAACAUGGCUUCUGGUUUCAUAUGAAUGUACAGUGCAACUAUAUAUUUCUUGAAACAAGUGGCUAAACUCUAAAUUCAGUGAUCAAGGAAUGAUAAAUAAAGAAAAAGAUUGAUCACUCAAAUAGUACUGUGCUUCCAUUUCAAACUGAUAAGAAUCGAAAGAAGCAAGGAAGAUCACGAUAGUUCUCAUAAAUGAUCUCCACUAUGAAUACUCUGAGCGAAUUUCCCACAUUCCAGUCCCAUAUCCAAAGACCAUGAUUGCAACCUCCCACAUCGCCUGGGGAAUGCUUAAUAGAUUCACCUUGGAUCCAGGCAUUUCAGACCAGUCUACAGAAAUUUCAAGCACGGGGAUAUUGAAAUGUUUGCAUAGAAAAACAACCUCGAGAUCAAAGCACCAUCUGCACAAAAGUUCAAUUUCUUCAAACAUCAGUCCACAUAAUAAAUUCAACGCAAAUUAACCAGUAGAUACAGCAUGGAACAUCAAAGAUAGAAGAAGUUAUUGCCAGACUUAACCAGAAACCUAAGUCCCUUUUACUUUCAACUAAGAGACUAAUGUAAGUUGGCCAGCAGUUGCUUUUUAAAUCUGUCUAAGGGCAUACUUAGAAUUCAAUCACAUUAAAAAAUUGAUCUGAGUCUCUUUCUGUAUGUGUUCAAUCAAUCGAUAAAUUCCCACCAAGACACAAACUAAUUGUUGAUGCACAGAUUUAAUUUGAAGAACUUUUCCAAAGAUUUGGGUCAAAGAAAAAUUAUUCAAGUUAGAAAAGACCGUUGUUUUGUUUAUAAUUAUACUAUAGAAGGCAAGGACAGUUCAAUGCCCAACCAUAAAAGGAAAAAAUAUAUAUAUAUGAAGAGCAAAGCAAAUCCAAAGUGAGGUUAUAAAUAUUUUGAAGGAACCAAGCACUCAAGAAUUUGAUCUUGAACAACUGUUGAACACCGAGUGCAAAAAGCGCAACCCCAAUAUUAUGAUUAAUGGAGCGAUUCCUUCUCCUGUAUGCGUCUGUUUUUGUAUGUUUUUAUUAUCACAUUGUAUGUAGUGUUUACAUAUUCUUGAAUUGUACUCCCUCCUCAACAUGACAGAUACAUUUUGCAUUCUGAGCAAUAAAAGUACUGGCAUGGCACAGAGGGCACUAAAUCAGGGGUGAAGGAGGAAUCACCAAGCAAUAUAUUUUUUACCUUUCUGGUUAACCUCCUUUGAAUCAAAUUUUAAAAAUUGAGGAUAUAAAAGAUAUAAGAGAAACAUGUUGAAAGAAGCAAUGAUUACCCUUUCAGCCGGAUGUUUGUGAAAAGUUUCCUUGCUGCAGCCCUGGUGAACAUCUUAAAGCCACACUGUAAUUCACGAAAAGAACACAUUCAUGUAUUUUCAGUGUAUUUAUCUGAACAAAAGUUGCAAGGGAGUUGGGUAUCUGUGAUAUUGUCGAAAUAAAGACCAUGUGCAUCAUAAAUAUUCCAGAAAAUUACCUGUGUAUCACGAAUUUCAGGACCAGCAACUAAGAAAACAACAGGAUCAAAGCUCUUCUUUAGAAAAUAGCGAUACCAUUUUCUCUGAAAUGCAAAGCAUAUUGGAUCAACCAUGAGAAAUAUAAAAUAAAGUCGACAAGCUAAACGAGGACAAAAACAGAAACUAGUGAAGCAUAAGCAAAGCAUAAGCAAGACUGAACUGUUUCCAAAGGUUUCUCCUCAAGAUGAGCACGAGAACCAAAUGCAGCAACUGGGAAAUCAGAUAUUCUAAAAUUUGAAUCUGUCGCUGUAGCAUUUCCCAAAUUAAUCUCCUUUUUGGCAAAAGCAUGAAU